AAUAGAUACCCAGGUAGUCCACGCCGUAAACGAUGAGUGCUAAGUGUUAGAGGGUUUCCGCCCUUUAGUGCUGCAGCUAACGCAUUAAGCACUCCGCCUGGGGAGUACGGUCGCAAGACUGAAACUCAAAGGAAUUGACGGGGGCCCGCACAAGCGGUGGAGCAUGUGGUUUAAUUCGAAGCAACGCGAAGAACCUUACCAGGUCUUGACAUCCCACUGACCGGUAUAGAGGUAUACCUUUCCCUUCGGGGACAGUGGUGACAGGUGGUGCAUGGUUGUCGUCAGCUCGUGUCGUGAGAUGUUGGGUUAAGUCCCGCAACGAGCGCAACCCUUGAUCUUAGUUGCCAGCAUUUAGCUGGGCACUCUAAGGUGACUGCCGGUGACAAACCGGAGGAAGGUGGGGAUGACGUCAAAUCAUCAUGCCCCUUAUGACCUGGGCUACACACGUGCUACAAUGGAUGGUACAAAGGGCUGCAAGACUGCGAAGUCAAGCCAAUCCCAUAAAACCCAUUCUCAGUUCGGAUUGC
rnacentral:rRNA from 1 species